ACGAUCAUAUCGCGUUGAAACACCGAUUUUCGUAAGAUCACCGAAGUUAAGCAACGUCGAGCCAGGUUAGUGCCUAAAUGGGUGACCGCUUGGGAAUAACAGGUGUUGUAAG